AUGUAUCGGAACCCAUGGAUCUCGAAUUACCUGACUCAUGUCAAGUUUUGCAGCCAAGGACUCGGGAGUGAGAUCCCCAAUAAACUGAGCAACCCCAGAUUGCUGCAGAAGAGAGCUUUGAGCUUUCAGAAAGAAUUCUCCCUUGAUGAAAAAGAGGACCCGGCAAAAAGUACCAAGGAUAUAGAUGUUAGUCUCUUGGCCAAUCUCCCAAGAGUUUCUGAAUUGAGAAAACGAUUCGAAGGCAUCACAACAAGCACUAGUGACUGGGAAAUGAACAGAAAGGAGCGUAUCGCUCGGCGGUUGGAGGGCAUCGAUGGUGAGGUGCAUCCGUCUCUGCUGCCGAGUUUGGUGGCCAACCGGCUUCUGGAGGAGGACACACCCCGAUACACGAGGGCCUCGGAUCCCUGUGAGCCCUUUGGUGUUACAGUCCAGCGGUAUGGCAUGGAUGGAUUUGAAUGCCCAGAGAUGCAGGUGGCGGCUCCAGAGCGACAGGCCAGAGCUCUCUGCAGACCUGACCCCCAGUCCUCCGUCCCCAUGGAGCCCGCCUGCACUUCGGCUUCCACCACCGGCGGCCCUGAGCCUGAGUCAAAGGCUGAACGAAUUGCCCGCUACAAGGCAGAGAGGCGCAGACAGCUCGCAGAGCGCUAUGGCAUCUCUUUAGAUCAGGAGCCGGACUUGGGACAACCCCCGCGCUCCACUCGUACCCGGAAGGAAUUGGAAGGCUCGGAGAGGCGAAUCCGAGGGGAGUCGGUGGGGAAAGACGGGCAGGACAUCGCCCAUCGUUCUUACACCGGCAGCUUGGGCGCCAACUCUCGGGCCCCACUGCACGGCCACUCGGACUCGGGUCAAGCGAUGGGUCGGACCAGGGCGGACUCCUUUACAGAGAGGGAGAGGGUGAUGAAUCUAGAGAAUCAACGCAGAGCUGCUCCGCCGGAGCCUCCGUCCUCUUACAUGGACGUGACAUCGUUGUCCUCGCCCGCCAGGGUUCCUGCCAAGGACUACUUCGUCACAGUGAUGCAACCUAGUUCACCCAAGCUAAGCAGGCACCUCUCCCUGUCCUCACCUAAGCACGGGGCGUCUCCUGGUGACCUGUUCAUUGAGCAGCAGGCCCACAACAUCCUCAGCAGACAGGGUGCAAGGGCGAGCACUGAUUGGUCCCUCCAGACUGAUGCUGAGGGCGACACCCAUUCCCUCAUCAACUGGCCCUCGAGAAUCCGAGUUAGGGAGAGACUUGCCAGGGAUGAGGGCCGCCAGCAGAGCCCAGAGCCGGCAGAAGUUACAGAUGUGCCAAUCUACCACAGACCCCGGACCCAGACCUCUACACACCAACACACAGCUCCACCAGGGCCCCAGCAGGUCUACCCCCAUCACCCCCAGCCUCAUCUCACUCGACUUGGGCCCUUGGGAGGUCAAGAUAUUGCGAGUUACCCAAGUUAUCUGACAAUGGCUUCCGGUCCUGGACUGCAAGAGCCGCUGGAAGACGAUACUGAGGAAUCUGAGGUUUUCAAGACAGCGGGCCUCCUCAGGAGCAGGAAAGCAGUGCUGCCCUCAGAGAUACGCCGCAGGGAGAGGAGCACUGAGGACCCACUGAGAGGAAGGGGGGAAGAGGAGCAAGGGAUGACCACGGCGAAUGAGGUAGAGGGACCGGCGAGAGGACGACGACAAAGCAGAGAAAGGUGGGACGAAACAGAGCCGACCUUCCGUCUUCAAGCCUCAGGGAGAGGGCCCAGACGGCAAGAUACUGCCAUUUAUAUCCACAAAGGGAUGGCCGCCACCCAGCCCCAGCCCAGGGCUUCCCAUGCAGCACAGAUUCGCUCCGUGUCAGAGGCUCGGGAUCCACGAGGGUUCAGUCAGAGGAACCCGCAGCAUGACUGCCAAGUAGUCCGUGAGUGUGACAAUGUCGGAAACCAAGAGCGUCUCCAGGAUAGCCGGGUGUCAGUGGCCCAGCUCAGGCACUCCUACAUGGAGAGCGCCACCACCACCCCUCACACCGACCGCAUCAACGAGCUUGAGUUUGUCGGGGACGUGGCUCUCGCAGGCAACGGGGCCCCGUGGAGAGGGAUGAGGGACAGGGAGCGCAGGCCCCUGCAGUAUCUCAAUCCUGGGGAGAGUAGAAAGACCUCAGAGAGAUUUAGGACGCAGCCCAUCACUUCUGCUGAGCGCCAGGAGACCGAUAGGUCCCGGGUGAGUUCAGAUCUUGCUUCCACUGAAGCUGAUGAAGAGAAGCUAGAUGAGAGGGCCAAGCUGAGCGUAGCCGCCAAGCGCUCUCUCUUCAGGGAGCUGGAGAAGACCAUUGAUGGUGGAGCUCCAAAACCGCGGUACAGGAACACUGCAGUGGACAGGAGACUCAGGAGGACACAAGACCGGUCCAGGACUCAGCCAGUCACCACUGAGGAAGUAGUCAUCGCCGCCACCCUGCAGGCGUCUUCGCAGCAAAUGGAGGAAAAGGCUCACAGUGAGGGUCCGGAUGAGCCCGACCUCAGCACUCUCAGUCUGGCGGAAAAGAUGGCGCUGUUCAACCGGCUGGCUCAACCUCCCAUCAGGGUCACUCGGACCAGGGGGGACACGCGCCAGCGCAGGACCAACGCCCGCUACCAGACACAACCCAUCACGCUGGGAGAUAUGGAGCAGGUAAGGAACAGCUUGAUAUUGAGAGGCGGCACCGUCUCCACGGACCAUGCCGGAGACAUCCACUUAACCCGAGCAGCAGCGGGGGCCCAGGUUGAGCCCCUCCUUCCAAGCUUUGAGGGCCCCUCCCGGAGGUCCCGGGACCCGGCGGACCACCAGAGGUGCCAAAUGUUGCCGCGGGGCAAAGACGGCCCUGAUCUGGGAGGAGGGAAGAGGAAGCUGUCCUCCCCGGAGGGAGCGGUCAGAGUGGCCUUGUUGAAGAAGAGCGGCGAGGACGACUGGAGGAGCCGGAUUAACAGGAAGCAAGACGCGGCGCAGGCGACUGCCGACGAACAGCACCUUCACCACUUGGAGGAGGAGGAGCAGAUCUUUAAGAAGAAGGAUGACGAACUGCUGAUGAUGAUUGAUGAGAUCGACGUGUCCGACGAGCUCUGGGUAAGGCCAGGGAAUGAGGCUCACUUGUCCAUCCAGGAGAGGAAGCGGCUAAUCGUAGCCCAGGAGGAGUCUUGGAAGACCAAAGGCUACGGCGCCGCCAAUGACUCCACCCAGUUCACUGUGGCCGCACGCAUGGUGAAGAAAGGGUUGGCUUCCCCUUCGGCCCUCCAGGCCCCAGUGUCCUCCAAACCCAAGAACAGCAGCCUUGCCAUCGCCAAACCUCAAGAAGAGAUCAAGGCCAUGCCAGAUCUGAACCUGGAGUCGGACAUGAAGCUGGAUAAACUGGAGUCAUUUAUCGGCAAGCUCAACAGCAAAGGUCAGUCUCAAUCGACCAUCACAGUCACGCAGAAGAAGGUGAAGGAGGUGAUGACCCUCGAAGACGAAACGUUCUCCAAGUUCUACCGCCAAGUGGAGGAGCUCUCCCCCACCACCAACAGGCUGGAGAUUAGCCUCGACGACUUCGAUGCCAUCUUCGGCCCCCAGCUGCCAAAGCUGACCUCGGAAAUGGAGCAGCACAAGCGGGCGGUGCGCCCGGCACGUAACGUCCAGUCGUCUAGAAACCCUCUGAAGAUGCUGGCCGCCAGGGAGGACAUCAGACACGAGUACACGGAACAGAGACUCAACGUUGGCCUGCUGGAGAGCAAGAGGAUGAAGGCUGAGAAGACGAACAAAAACUCUGGUUUCUCCGACGUGGCUCUGGCCGGUCUGGCAAGCAAGGAGAACUUCAGCAACAUCAACCUGCGCAGCGUCAACAUCUCCGAGCAGAUGUCCAACAAUAGCGCUGUGCCUUACAAGAAACUCAUGCUCUUACAGGUCAAAGGCCGACGGCACGUCCAGACCAGGCUGGUGGAGCCCAGAGCGUCCUCCCUGAACAGCGGGGAUUGCUUCCUACUCGUAACGCCACACCACUGCUUUAUCUGGACCGGGGAGUUUGCCAACGUAAUCGAGAAGAACAAGGCUUCAGAGUUGGCAAACUUCAUCCAGAGAAAGAGAGACUUAGGCUGCCGAGCCAACUACGUCCAGGUCAUCGAGGAAGGCGUCAGCACGCACAGCCAUUCUGCCAAGGACUUCUGGAAUAUUUUGGGGGGGCAGUUGAGUUAUCAGUCCGCAGGGACACCAGACGAAGACGAGCUGUACGAGGGGGCCAUCGUGGAGACCAACUGUAUCUACCGCCUGAUAGACGACAAGCUGGUCCCAGAUGAUGAUUUUUGGGCCAAGGUCCCGAGCUGUUCCCUGCUCUUCCCCAAGGAGGUCUUGGUGUUUGACUUUGGCAGCGAGAUGUACAUAUGGCACGGGAAGGAGGUGACGCUGGCACAGAGGAAGGUGGCCUUCCAGCUGGCAAAGCACCUGUGGAACGGCACCUUCGAUUACACCAACUGUGACAUCAACCCGCUCGACCCGGGCGAGUGCAACACUCUCAUACCCAAGAAAGGUCAGGGCCGACCGGACUGGGCCGUGUUUGGCAGGCUGACUCAGCACAACGAAACCACCCUGUUCAAAGAGAAGUUCCUGGACUGGUGCGACUCCAGGAGAACACCAAGCCCCGCAAAAAACAACGAACACAUCACCAAUCAAAAGGAAAUGGCCAUUCCUUUCUGCCCUCCCCAUGCGUACGACGCCUCCCUGAUGCUGCCCCUCCCUCAGGCGCCCGUCUGCACCAGACUAGACGGAUUCAACGUGGGGCGGGGCUACGGCCUGGUGGAGGCCGAGGAGUGGCGCAGCUACGAGAUCAGCACACUGGGCGUGGAGGUGUGGCACAUCCUGGAGUUUGACUAUAGCCGCCUGCCGUGCCAGAGCAUAGGCCAGUUCCACGAGGGGGACACAUACGUGAUGAAGUGGAAGUACAUGGUCAGCGCUGCGGUUGGGAGGAGACAGAACCCGGAGCAGCAGAAGUCGGCGGGGGCCGGGAGGGAGAAGUGCUGCUACUUCUUCUGGCAGGGCCGCAACUCCACAGUCAGCGAGAAAGGAACGUCGGCGCUCAUGACCGUGGAGCUGGACGAGGAGCGUGGAGCGCAGGUUCAGGUCCAGCAGGGUAAGGAGCCUCCGUGUUUCCUGCAGUGCUUCAAAGGAGGGAUGGUGAUCCACUCGGGGCGGAGAGAAGAGGAGGAGGAGAACUCUCAAAGUGACUGGCGUCUGUACUGUGUGGCCUGUCACUGCACUAGCCUGCGCUCCAGGGCGUCCAUGGUGCUGCUGAGUGCGAGCCAGGCCGCCAUCUACCUGUGGCACGGCUGCAAGUCUCAGGCGCACACGCGGGAGGUGGCGCGCACCGCCGCCAACCACAUCAGAGAGCAUUGUCCUCUGGAAACGGGCCUUCACAGCAGCAGCAAGGUGACCAUCUGGGAGUGUGACGAGGGAGCAGAGCCCGCGGGAUUCUGGGAGCCCCUCAGGAGGAGGGACAGGAAAGCGUACGACUGCAUGCUGCAAGACCCAGGAAGGUUUAACUUCUCACCGCGUCUGUACCAGCUGAGCAGCAGCUCCGGGGAGUUUGUGGCAGUAGAGUUUCUUUACCCUGCCAGAGACCCCAGGGAGGUCAACUCCAUGCCCUUCCUGCAGGAGGACCUCUAUGCGGCUUCACAACCAGCCCUGUUCCUGGUGGACAACCAUCACGAGGUGUAUCUGUGGCAGGGCUGGUGGCCUCAGGACAGCGAAAGCACCGGCUCAGCCCAAAUCCGCUGGGACUCGGACAGGAAGUGUGCCAUGGAGACUGUGCUGCAGUACUGCAGAGAAAAGAAUGAGAAGAAGCCUCCCAAAGCGUACCUGAUCCACGCCGGUCUGGAGCCUCUCACCUUCACCAACAUGUUCCCCAGCUGGGAGCACAGAGAGGACAUCGCUGAGAUCACUGAGAGGGAGGCUGAGGUGUGUAACCAGAUCAUCCUAGUGGAGGAUGUGUUGGCCCGGCUGUGUAAGACCACGUACCCACUGGCAGAUGUUCUGACCCGGCCGCUGCCCGAGGGCGUUGACCCUCUUCGCCUGGAGGUCUACCUGUCCGACGAGGACUUUGAGAAAGCCCUGCAGACCACCAGAGAGGAGUACAGCGCUUUGCCUGGCUGGAAGCAGGUGAAGCUGAAGAAAGCCAAAGGACUUUUUUAAGGGGGGUUGAGACAGCGAGCUGACCUGAAGACACCGGGAUGCCUGGGACAUAGCGGAGGAUGGGAGCCUCACCUAAGGUAACCACGACGGAGGAAGGGAGCAGCGAAGCUACGGAGAAGGUGUUCCUCCACCAUCUUUGAGUCUGUGUUUUCCGGUCGUAAAGUUAGGAGACAAAUGCACCUUUUGUUAAGUUUAUUGAAUUUAAUGUUAAUGUACAUAUGUACCAUAUGCAAAAAACAGCCCGGUCACCUUACAUUGUCGGUCAUGCGGCCUUCUGUGAAGAGUGGGAGCAGACCUGUCAGCCUGUUCAACACACUCCACUUCACGUGCUCUGCUUUUG
ensembl:lncRNA